GGAGACGUAGCUCAGCUGGAUAGAGCGCUAGCCUCCGGAGCUAGAGGUCGUGGGUUCGAAUCCCGCCGUCUUCA
rnacentral:tRNA from 1 species